ACGGGUGAGUAAUAUAUCGGAACGUGCCCUAGAGUGGGGGAUAACUAGUCGAAAGACUAGCUAAUACCGCAUACGAUCUACGGAUGAAAGUGGGGGAUCGCAAGACCUCAUGCUCCUGGAGCGGCCGAUAUCUGAUUAGCUAGUUGGUGGGGUAAAAGCCUACCAAGGCAACGAUCAGUAGCUGGUCUGAGAGGACGACCAGCCACACUGGGACUGAGACACGGCCCAGACUCCUACGGGAGGCAGCAGUGGGGAAUUUUGGACAAUGGGGGCAACCCUGAUCCAGCAAUGCCGCGUGAGUGAAGAAGGCCUUCGGGUUGUAAAGCUCUUUUGUCAGGGAAGAAACGGUAGUAGCGAAUAACUAUUACUAAUGACGGUACCUGAAGAAUAAGCACCGGCUAACUACGUGCCAGCAGCCGCGGUAAUACGUAGGGUGCAAGCGUUAAUCGGAAUUACUGGGCGUAAAGCGUGCGCAGGCGGUUGUGUAAGUCAGAUGUGAAAUCCCCGGGCUCAACCUGGGAAUUGCAUUUGAGACUGCACGGCUAGAGUGUGUCAGAGGGGGGUAGAAUUCCACGUGUAGC
rnacentral:rRNA from 1 species